rnacentral:lncRNA from 1 species
UGUUUGUCUUUUCAAUAACGUGUUGUUGUGUGUAUAGUAGUAUGUUAGUGGUGAAAUGAACUUCUGAUGUAAAGCAUCUUGAAUUUCAAUAAAUUUUCAUUUAAGCAUUUAUUGAUUCUAACAUUAACGGUUUAAGCGUCAACAUUGUAUUUAAUAUUUUCACAUUUUUGAACACUAUUCUUUUUGUUAACAACGUCGAACAUUAUUCUCCUAAGAUGUUUUUUCCUUCUCCGCAUAUUUUGACUUGAGCCAUCACCAUCUAUGUAUUUC